rnacentral:rRNA from 1 species
CAGAGAUGGAUUUGUGCCUUCGGGAACCGUGAGACAGGUGCUGCAUGGCUGUCGUCAGCUCGUGUUGUGAAAUGUUGGGUUAAGUCCCGCAACGAGCGCAACCCUUAUCCUUUGUUGCCAGCGAUUAGGUCGGGAACUCAAAGGAGACUGCCAGUGAUAAACUGGAGGAAGGUGGGGAUGACGUCAAGUCAUCAUGGCCCUUACGACCAGGGCUACACACGUGCUACAAUGGCGCAUACAAAGAGAAGCGACCUCGCGAGAGCAAGCGGACCUCAUAAAGUGCGUCGUAGUCCGGAUUGGAGUCUGCAACUCGACUCCAUGAAGUCGGAAUCGCUAGUAAUCGUGGAUCAGAAUGCCACGGUGAAUACGUUCCCGGGCCUUGUACACACCGCCCGUCACACCAUGGGAGUGGGUUGCAAAAGAAGUAGGUAGCUUAACCUUCGGGAGGGCGCUUACCACUUUGUGAUUCAUGACUGGGGUGAAGUCGUAACAAGGUAACCGUAGGGGAACCUGCGGUUGGAUCACCUCCUUACCUGAAAGAAGC